rnacentral:lncRNA from 1 species
AAAGCUUUCCGUCAGUAGCCAAGCGAGCCGUUGCAGAUGGGCAUCUCCUAGGCAAAGCUACUCCAGAAAUGGUUUUGGUGGUUACUCCAAAAAAAACCUGCCAUUCCUACAAACUUUUUUCAAAUUGUUCCCUCUUUUAGCUUUACACAGCAGUCCCUGCUCACAACCUUCUCUCAAACCCCUGGGCAAUAGCCCUGCCGGUGAGGAGGAUCGAACACUCCGGCACAAAACCCAGAGAUCCGCCUACCAAUGGAGGCUGCCACCUCCGCCUCUCCUCCUCUACCGCCUAAAGCGCUUCUGGUUCUGACUUCCGGUGACUACCGGAGCUGAACCCAACAUCUCCCACUUCAGAACUUGUGCUAGAAAGUUUAAGGGUUUCCUUGCUUCUAGUUCUUAACA